ACCACGGUGUUUUCACUCAAAGGAAAUAGUAAAUCCGAUGUACUUUGGAUAUACUUGGGGAACACGACAAUAGAGGGCGCGAAAAACAAUUGAAUUAUUCUAUAAAUUCCUGUCUAAUCUGUGAUACCAAUUCCAUGUUUCCGUUACGCGCAAUUAACAAAAUAAAAGAUAUGACAAAAAUAAUGUUGUAUUAUUUUUAAUUAGCCUUUUAAAAUGUUAUUAAUUAUAAUUAACAAAAAAAAACAAAUAUUAUCUAAAGUUUUUGUUCUUAAAUUGGUCCGUUUUAAAAUCUGAAGGUGCGAAACUUUUAUGAUAAACUUUAAAAAAGAGGCAUGGAACGGAAUGUUUUUUUUUUCAAAGCCGCCAUAACGCCAUUAUUUCAAUUCUUCACUUUCUUGUGAUGUUCGAUGCUUUGCUUUGCUAGAAAGAACUUUAAAAUUAUGAUGUUGAACUAUACAACGACUGUGCUUGCCCUGGACUCCGAUAAAUCUGCUUUUUUGUGAAUAUACCGGCUCUGCUCAACGGAUUUUGAUUUGCUCGUUAGAUUCGUUUGUCGUAACAAUGGUUAUAAGUGCUGUGUGUUGUGUACUUAAUUGCGGUAAAACGCGAUUAGAUAAUAUGAUUCUUCACCAAUGACCCAAUCCAAUUAUUGAGCCUGACUGGUUUCUUCUUCUAAUGGCAGUGAUGUGUUAGCAAUGGAAAACUGUGUCAUACUCACUUUAAGAAAAAAUAUAAUACUUCAAGCGGAAGGCUCCGUUUUACCCAUUUCUCUAUUGAGGUCUUGGGGUAUGGAAUUGAUAAGCAAACCACAUUGCUGCAAUUUCCAAUCAAUGUUCAAGAACCAAUGCAAGAUGAUCAAGUACCCAGAGCCCCUUUGAGGAACAUCACCAAUCAGUACCCACAGGGCGGCUACUAAUCUCAGAUCUCAGCCGUCAGCUUCAGGAAUUGAUAAGCAAGCAAACCGCAUCGCUGCAAUUUGCUAGCAAUAUUCAAGAACCGAUGCAAGAUGAUCAAAUACCCAGAGCCCCUUUGAGGAACAUCACUGAUGUCAGUUCUCAGCCGUCAACUUCAGGUCACGCGCCACGACACACACCCCGAUUUUUCACGGAAGCUAGCAGUUUGGCCAAACAAAUAAAAAACCUUACUGAGACAAAAGAAAAAUAUUCUUUCGUUUAUUGCUCGUGUUGGUGUGGUGAAAAUUGUCGGUAGGAAACACUGCGCUUGAAAUAAUUAAGACGCAUUAGGAGAAGUAAUUCUCUAAACGCUUUCGACUAGUUCUUUCCUGGUUUUUGAAGCUAAGUAGUAUCACCACCAAUUACGUAACUAUAAAACAUAUUUUAAAAUAAAUUAUUAAAAACUAUUCCCCUG
rnacentral:lncRNA from 1 species